rnacentral:rRNA from 1 species
GGUUAAGCGACUAAGCGUACACGGUGGAUGCCUAGGCAAUCAGAGGCGAUGAAGGACGUGCUAAUCUGCGAUAAGCGUCGGUAAGGUGAUAUGAACCGUUAUACCCGACGAUUUCCGAAUGGGGAAACCCAGUGCAAUCCGUUGCACUAUCGUUUGAUGAAUACAUAGUCAAACGAAGCGAACCGGGGGAACUGAAACAUCUCAGUACCCCGAGGAAAAGAAAUCAACCGAGAUUCCCCUAGUAGCGGCGAGCGAACGGGGAGCAGCCCAGAGUCUUAAUCAGCAUUAGUAUCAGGAGAACGGUCUGGAAAGUCCGGCAGUAAAGGGUGAUAGCCCCGUAUCUGAAGAUGCUAGUGUUGUGAACUCGACGAGUAGGGCGGGACACGUGUUAUCCUGUCUGAAUAUGGGGGGACCAUCCUCCAAGGCUAAAUACUCCUGAUUGACCGAUAGUGAACCAGUACCGUGAGGGAAAGGCGAAAAGAACCCCGGCGAGGGGAGUGAAAUAGAACCUGAAACCGUGUACGUACAAGCAGUGGGAGCCUUGAUUUAUCAGGGUGACUGCGUACCUUUUGUAUAAUGGGUCAGCGACUUAUAUUCUGUAGCAAGGUUAACCGUAUAGGGGAGCCGUAGGGAAACCGAGUCUUAACUGGGCGAAUGAGUUGCAGGGUAUAGACCCGAAACCCGGUGAUCUAGCCAUGGGCAGGUUGAAGGUUGGGUAACACUAACUGGAGGACCGAACCGACUAAUGUUGAAAAAUUAGCGGAUGACUUGUGGCUGGGGGUGAAAGGCCAAUCAAACCGGGAGAUAGCUGGUUCUCCCCGAAAGCUAUUUAGGUAGCGCCUCGUGAACUCAUCUUCGGGGGUAGAGCACUGUUUCGACUAGGGGGUCAUCCCGACUUACCAACUCGAUGCAAACUACGAAUACCGAAGAAUGUUAUCACGGGAGACACACGGCGGGUGCUAACGUUCGUCGUGAAGAGGGAAACAACCCAGACCGCCAGCUAAGGUCCCAAAGUCAUAGUUAAGUGGGAAACGAAGUGGGAAGGCUCAGACAGCCAGGAUGUUGGCUUAGAAGCAGCCAUCAUUUAAAGAAAGCGUAAUAGCUCACUGGUCGAGUCGGCCUGCGCGGAAGAUGUAACGGGGCUAAACUAUGCACCGAAGCUGCGGCAGCGAUAUGUAAAUAUUGUUGGGUAGGGGAGCGUUCUGUAAGCCUGUGAAGGUGU